rnacentral:rRNA from 1 species
GUAGAAGACUGGAAUUCCUGGUGUAGCGGUGAAAUGCGCAGAUAUCAGGAGGAACACCGGUGGCGAAGGCGGGUCUCUGGGUAGUAACUGACGCUGAGGAGCGAAAGCAUGGGUAGCGAACAGGAUUAGAUACCCUGGUAGUCCAUGCCGUAAACGGUGGGCGCUAGGUGUGGGGUCCUUCCACGGACUCCGUGCCGUAGCUAACGCAUUAAGCGCCCCGCCUGGGGAGUACGGCCGCAAGGCUAAAACUCAAGAAUUUGACGGAA